UUUUUUUUUUUUUGCCAGAAUUUAGGAUUGAUAUAUAUAACACUAAGUAUAAGAUGGGUUUUAGAUCAGCUGCUGAUGGCAGUUUUUUAAUUUUAGAAGAAAUUGCAGCUACUGAAUUAUCCUACUUAAUCUCAAUUUAAACAGAUAAAUCUAAAAAAUAAAAUCCAGGGAGGAGACAGAAACUACAAUUUGUUACAAUGACUUACUAGAGAAAUGAACAAAAACACAGAAAUUGCUUAUGCUGCUAGAUGUGAAAAGCAAUGCUCCAACAUCUGCCUUAAACUUCCUAAAAUCAUCAAGAAAUCCAACCAUUCAGGAGUUCAAUGAAGCCACCCAGCCAGAGACCGGCUGAAUCAGGCCCUACAAGAGACAAGGGAGACAGUCCGAGCUGUCCCAGAGUCACAUAGUCGCUCACAUUUGGAAAGGUAAUUUCUUAUUUCUGGAAGUGGGAAAACUACCUGACAAUAAUCCCAAUAUUUUCUAGAUUCCACAAAUGGGGCUUUUAAAAUGGCAUGCUAAUCAAUUCUGUGAUGUGGGUUUCUAAGGUCAAAAUGGGGCCGUAAAAGGUCACUGACAACCAUUCAGGAGGUAAAGAAAAUCCUAAUUCCUAAGGGAGAACUUCUGAGAUAUUGACUAAAAAUGAAGCUUGGAGGGAGACUGAGAUAAACUCCCUGCUUCUGUGUCAUCAAGGGACCCAGUCAAAAACUUGUGCUUCCUCUUCCAACUACAAAACUGCAAAUCUACACAAUUUUUAGUCAUGUCAUAUUUUAGGCAAAAUCAUUUCACUCAGUAUUGAUUUAGCAUCUUUUCUCUGCUGCAAAAUUGGGAAUGUUCAAAAUAAAUUCAAUUCAAAAUUUUAAUGGCAAAGUAAUGCCUUCCAGUGUUGUGGAAUUUAAAAGCCCUUGCUGACAGCUGUCGUACCCACGGGAGGAGAUGCGGAGUAAUACUGCAAAUGAAGUCCAAAAUAUCCCUCGUACCAAUUUCAUUUUAUUCAGUAAUUUCAUUCUUGCUUUCAAGUCCCAGAGAAUACAGAAAGCAGGUGUCUGCCUCACUAAUCAUAGCCCAGGGUUUAAUAAUUCAAUGUUGGGCCUCCUUAGAAAAAGUCUCUAAGGGAAACACUUAAUGUAGCGUAUGGCAAGCUUUCCCUAAUGAGCAAUUCAGCACGAGUUUUGCAAGAUCCUGGGAGAUAAAAGGACACACUCUGGAGAAUUAUGAAUCUGACUGGAGAUCACUGACUUCCUCUGAACUUCCUGCCUGCCGGCAUCCAUUGAGGAAGGGUAUCAAUCCCAAUUUUAAACAGGCCAAGGAAGAAAUCUCAGUAUCUUUCUUGGAAAUUUUCUCCUUCACACAGUACAUAUACAGCACUUGGCACAGUGGCUGGCACUCAAUCGGGCGAGGUAUAAAAAUGGGUAUUCAGCCUAAAUUUUUCUGGAAAAUGCCCUUCUACUGGCAAGAUGAAGGCAAUCGCCACACAGCCCGAAUACCUCAUGGAUUCAUCCUUGGUUUCUCUUCCUUCAGGGUCCUUU
rnacentral:lncRNA from 1 species